UGGGGAAUAUUGGACAAUGGGGGGAACCCUGAUCCAGCCAUGCCGCGUGUGUGAAGAAGGCCUUAUGGUUGUAAAGCACUUUAAGCGAGGAGGAGGGUACUGGUAUUAAUACUACCAGGUACUGGACGUUACUCGCAGAAUAAGCACCGGCUAACUCUGUGCCAGCAGCCGCGGUAAUACAGAGGGUGCGAGCGUUAAUCGGAUUUACUGGGCGUAAAGCGUGCGUAGGCGGCUAAUUGAGUCGGAUGUGAAAUCCCCGAGCUUAACUUGAUAAUUGCAUUCGAUACUGGUUUGCUAGAGUGUGGGAGAGGAUGGUAGAAUUCCAGGUGUAGCGGUGAAAUGCGUAGAGAUCUGGAGGAAUACCGAUGGCGAAGGCAGCCAUCUGGCCUAACACUGACGCUGAGGUACGAAAGCAUGGGGAGCAAACAGG
rnacentral:rRNA from 1 species